UGAUUUUGGGACAGAUGAUCUCUCUUUGGAUGAAGAUGUAACAAGUCCAAUAGAUAAGUUUGUGAAGUAUGGGAUGUCCAAUAUUGAUGAAGGCUUGUUCAUGGGUCAGGCUAUUCUAGAACAACUUGGAAAUUAUCCUAGACAUAGGUUGCACAACAGAGAGAACAAUAAAUUUGAAGAGAACAAUAAAGCUAAUGGAAAUGCUUCCAAUUUUUCUGAUCUUUCUGUUGGUACUGAUGGUAUGAACAGACUCUCUUUGAAGCAGGAGAACACCAAAGUCAUCCGUCAUGGUCGGAAGUUAUCAA
rnacentral:misc_RNA from 1 species